UACGUAGGGUCCGAGCGUUAAUCGGAAUUACUGGGCGUAAAGCGUGCGCAGGCGGUUUUGUAAGCCAGAUGUGAAAUCCCCGGGCUCAACCUGGGAACUGCAUUUGGGACUGCAAGGCUGGAGUACGGCAGAGGGAGGUGGAAUUCCACGUGUAGCAGUGAAAUGCGUAGAGAUGUGGAGGAACACCGAUGGCGAAGGCAGCCUCCUGGGCUAGUACUGACGCUCAUGCACGAAAGCGUGGGGAGCGAAACAGG
rnacentral:rRNA from 1 species